CCAUGUUUUAUGGCCCCUAUAAUAAAAACGCUCAAGUCAAAGAGGUGUAUGUGUUGUCAAGCCGUACUGGCGCAUUGUUAUCCCUGAUGCUGUUACAGUGCCGCGCCCAACCCGUUCCGUUCACAAUCUGAAGUGGCCUCGUCCUCCAGUUGACCCCAAAGCCUUCAUACCCCAGGAGAAGGUUCUGUGCAACGCAAGCGGUGCAGCGUGCCCUUCCGCACGUGCCGCGUGUCCGUCUCUUAAAGAACUUGUCGGCCCAUGUGUGCACGAUCACGCAUGGUGACUUGUAGGCACAGGUACGUCCACUCCCGUGUCGACCGACUCGCGGAAACACAACGUCUCAACCUGAACAGACGCCUCACCAAAACACCAAUCCGACCCGAUCGGACAACGAUGUAAGCCACUGCCAAGUUUCUUACACGCCACGCGAUUACCAGCCCCCAUCAGUAACUCCAACUCCAACCCACCUCCCAUCAACGCAAGACAGUCCACACACAAUACAAUAACUAAAUCCCAAAACCACCCUCUGAGGCAAGGUCGCCUCCCACGCACUGGACACUCCCACGCAUUCCCUUUUCCGCCUUUUCCCCCCUUUCCCUGGUCCAGCUCAUUCCGUGCUCUGCUGCUGCUGCUGCUGGUGUGGGCCGCAAGGGCGGAGCCGCACCCCGUGAGAGGAGAUCACUUGAGCGAGUUGUAGAAGAGGAUGAGGAUGGUCCCCACCACCAGCAUCACGGGGAUGGCGCUCACGCCGUACAGCACGCCGUACCCCACCCAGCCGGGCAGCAUGUCCGUCAUGGACUGCGGCUUCUCUCCCUUGCGGAGCUCGUCGCCCAUCACAUACGGCUUCACGAC
rnacentral:lncRNA from 1 species